rnacentral:rRNA from 1 species
GACCUGCGGAGGGAUCAUUACACAAAUAUGAAGGCGGGCUGGAACCUCUCGGGGUUACAGCCUUGCUGAAUUAUUCACCCUUGUCUUUUGCGUACUUCUUGUUUCCUUGGUGGGUUCGCCCACCACUAGGACAAACAUAAACCUUUUGUAAUUGCAAUCAGCGUCAGUAACAAAUUAAUAAUUACAACUUUCAACAACGGAUCUCUUGGUUCUGGCAUCGAUGAAGAACGCAGCGAAAUGCGAUAAGUAGUGUGAAUUGCAGAAUUCAGUGAAUCAUCGAAUCUUUGAACGCACAUUGCGCCCUUUGGUAUUCCAAAGGGCAUGCCUGUUCGAGCGUCAUUUGUACCCUCAAGCUUUGCUUGGUGUUGGGCGUCUUGUCUCUAGCUUUGCUGGAGACUCGCCUUAAAGUAAUUGGCAGCCGGCCUACUGGUUUCGGAGCGCAGCACAAGUCGCACUCUCUAUCAGCAAAGGUCUAGCAUCCACUAAGCCUUUUUUUCAACUUUUGACCUCGGAUCAGGUAGGGAUACCCGCUGAACUUAAGCAUAUCAUA